rnacentral:tRNA from 1 species
GGGCCGGUAGUUCAGUUGGGAGAACGCCUGAUUUGCAUUCAGGAGGUCGUGGGUUCGACUCCCAUUCGGUCCACCA